UACGUAGGGUGCAAGCGUUAAUCGGAAUUACUGGGCGUAAAGCGUGCGCAGGCGGUGAUGUAAGACAGAUGUGAAAUCCCCGGGCUCAACCUGGGAACUGCAUUUGUGACUGCAUCGCUGGAGUGCGGCAGAGGGGGCUGGAAUUCCGCGUGUAGCAGUGAAAUGCGUAGAUAUGCGGAGGAACACCGAUGGCGAAGGCAAUCCCCUGGGCCUGCACUGACGCUCAUGCACGAUAGCGUGGGGGAGCAAACAGG
rnacentral:rRNA from 1 species